GGUGGGGUUCCCGAGCGGCCAAAGGGAGCAGACUGUAAAUCUGCCGUCGCAGACUUCGAAGGUUCGAAUCCUUCCCCCACCA
rnacentral:tRNA from 1 species